rnacentral:lncRNA from 13 species
AUGCAUUUCCUUCAUUAUGUCAGUAGUCCUUACCAUUUGGUACAUUUUUGGAAUGGCUGGUACUGGUUAUUCCUAUCUUUGUUUAGUGCUUCUUUCAGGAGCUCUUGUAAAGCAGGCCUGGUGGUGUUGAAAUCUCUCAGACAUUGCAUGUUUGUAAAAUAUUUUAUUUCUCCUUCACUGAAGCAGGUUCUGAGACCAUUGCUGAGAGACCCACAGACAGUUCACAUCACAGGACUCUGUGCAGACAACCCCCAGUACCAGCCUGGAGCCUUGUAGACUUGCUGGGUGGCUAGAUCCAGAAGAGAUAACAAUCACUAAAGCUUGGCUCUCAAGAAGCCAUGCCCUAAGGAAAAGGGAGAGAAUGCUACAUCAAGGGAAACAACCCAUUGGACAGAAGACUCUGAAUAAUAGCAUUGAGCCCUAGACCUAGCCUACCCAAGUGAGAAGAAGCCAGAAAACAAACUCUGGCAAUAUGACAAAAUAAGCUUAUUUGACUCCACUGAAAAAGCACACUAGCUCACCAGCAGUGGAUCCAAACCAAGAAGAAAUCUCUGAUUUACCUGAAAAAGAAUUCAGAAGGUUAACUAUUAAGCUAAUCAUGGAGGCACCAAAGAAAGGUGAAGCCUGAUGUAAGGAAAUCCAAAAAAUGAUACAAGAAGUGAAGGGAGAAAUAUUUAAUGAAAUAGCAUAAAGAAAAAAACAAUCAAAACUUCAGGAAACAAUGGAAAAACUUACAGACAUGUGAAAUGCUCUGGAAAGUCUCAGCAAUAGCAUCAAACAAGCAGAAGAAAGAACUUCAGAGGUAGAAGACAAAGUUUUUGAAUUAACACAAUCUGAGAAGAAAAUAUGAACCAAGCCUCCAAGAAGUCUGGGAUUAAGCUAAGCAACCAAACUUAAGAAUAAUCAACAUUCCUGGGUAAAAGGACAAAUCCAAAAGUUUGGAAAAUAUAUUUGGGGUAAUAAUUGAGGAGAACUUCUCCAGCCUUGCUAGAGAACUAGACAUCUAAAUAUAAGAUGCUUGAAGAACUCUUACGAAAUUCAUUGCAAAAAGAUCAUCACCUAGGCACAUUGUCAUCAGGUUAUCUAAAGUUAAGACAAAAUAAAUAAUCUUAAAAACAUUGACA